UACGUAGGGUGCAAGCGUUGUCCGGAAUUAUUGGGCGUAAAGAGCUCGUAGGCGGCCUGUCGCGUCGGCUGUGAAAACCCGGGGCUCAACCUCGGGUCUGCAGUCGAUACGAGCAAACUAGAGUGUUGCAGGGGAGACUGGAAUUCCUGGUGUAGCGGUGAAAUGCGCAGAUAUCAGGAAGAACACCGAUGGCGAAGGCAGCUCGCUGGGACGGUAUUGACGCUGAGACGCGAAAGCGUGGGGAGCAAACAGG
rnacentral:rRNA from 1 species